rnacentral:rRNA from 1 species
CCUACGGGCGGCAGCAGUGAGGAAUAUUGGUCAAUGGACGAGAGUCUGAACCAGCCAAGUAGCGUGAAGGAUGACUGCCCUAUGGGUUGUAAACUUCUGUUAUAAAGGAAUAAAACGAGGCACGUGUGCCUUUUUGCAUGUACUUUAUGAAUAAGGAUCGGCUAACUCCGUGCCAGCAGCCGCGGUAAUACGGAGGAUCCGAGCGUUAUCCGGAUUGAUUGGGGUUAAAGGGAGCGUAGAUGGGUUGUUAAGUCAGUUGUGAAAGUCUGCGGCUCAACCGUAAAAUUGCAAUUGAUACUGGCAGUCUUGAGUACAGUUGAGGUAGGCGGAAUUCGUGGUGUAGCGGUGAAAUGCUUAGAUAUCACGAAGAACCCCGAUUGCGAAGGCAGCUUACUAAACUGUGACUGACAUUGAUGCUCGAAAGUGUGGGUAUCAAACAGGAUUAGAUACCCUGGUAGUC